AGGACGAACGCUGGCGGCGUGCUUAACACAUGCAAGUCGAGCGAGGCCCUCUCUUCGGAGAGGUGCCCUAGCGGCGAACGGGUGAGUAACACGUGGGCAACCUGCCCCUAGCACUGGGAUAAGCCCGGGAAACCGGGUCUAAUACCGGAUAUGACCUUCAAGGGCAUCCUCGAAGGUGUAAAGGAUUCUGGCUAGGGAUGGGCCCGCGGCCUAUCAGCUUGUUGGUGGGGUAAUGGCCCACCAAGGCAACGACGGGUAGCCGGCCUGAGAGGGCGACCGGCCACACUGGGACUGAGACACGGCCCAGACUCCUACGGGAGGCAGCAGUGGGGAAUAUUGCACAAUGGGCGAAAGCCUGAUGCAGCGACGCCGCGUGAGGGAUGACGGCCUUCGGGUUGUAAACCUCUUUCAGCUCCGACGAAGCGAAAGUGACGGUAGGAGCAGAAGAAGCACGGCCAACUACGUGCCAGCAGCGC
rnacentral:rRNA from 1 species